CCGUGCUAGGCGGGGAGCUGGCGGUUCCCUGUACCCCCGAUCCGCCACAGGGGGGCGGAAUCCCCGCCCGAGGCGGCGCGCCUACGGGCACCGGCCCGCGCGUGCAGCGAGGACGGCCGGGUCCUGCGCUACGAGAGCCUGCGAACCCCGCCAGGUCCGGAAGGAAGCAACGGUAAGCAGUCCCUCUCGUGUGCCGCAGGGAUACCUGGUCGGAGCCGGCUGCGCGGAAACCGCCGCGGGCGUGUGCGUCGACGGCGGGUGCACGG
rnacentral:SRP_RNA from 1 species